GCUGGGCGCGGUGGCGCAUGCCUGUAAUCCCAAUGACUCAGGAGGCUGAGGCAGGAGGAUCUGAGUUCAAAGCCAGCCUCAGCAACUUAGCGAGCUGCUAAGCAACUCAGUGAGACCCUGUCUCUA
rnacentral:sRNA from 1 species